rnacentral:lncRNA from 1 species
AAGGUUCAAAAUAGAUUUGGAAAUUGAUUUUCUUGGACUCUUAGCAUAUAUGGAUUACUUAAGUGUCUGAAGAAAUUACUUGAUGCAAAUAAUAACAUACAACCAGAAAGAGAUAUAUGGUGUGAUUUUUGGCGGACAAGAAUUCAACCGGCUUAAGUUAUCUAGUGUUAGCAAAGGAAGUUUGGACAAGAACAUCUGGAAUUUCAUAAAAGGCUUCAUAUUAAAAUAGCAACGUGAGUUCUUGGUUAGUAAAGGAACUCUUACGAAAUUAUAUUGUGUAAUCCUAGCAGGAUUUUGUGAUUUUAAGAGAGCACGGUACAAUCUUUCCCAAGAAUAUCAUACGAAUUUUUUCCUACUCCAGGUAUGUUAAGGCUAAGCUCUUCUUUCAUUUGGCAUGAUCUCGUCAUUACAUUCAUAUCCCGAAAUUUACGUAUAUUUUGCUAGUCUCACAAAUUGCGUAUAUUUUUCUAGUGUUGUAAGUUAUAAUAUUCUCCUUAUCGGGAUUUCAUAUUCAGUUGAGUAUUUCCUUCUUAUAGUCAAGAGAGCAGAGAAGUUUAUAUAUAUAGUAUUAAAAGUAUUUUCAUUACUAUCGAGCUAUAAUCGAUGGGCAGGCCCCUAUUGGGCAACCUCUGAUUAGAUGACAAGUUAUAUACCGAGUCUACUGUAGCCGAGCGCUUAUGAGCGAGCCUAGUUGGUCGAGAUAUAGAGCCUAGUAUGGCCGAACGCGUAUGAGCGAGCCUACUACGACAGAGAAGUUAUAUAUAUAUAUAUAUACCGAGCCUACUGUGGCCGUGCACGUAUAAGCGAGCCCAAUUGGUCGAGAUACAGAGCCUAGUAUGGCCGAGCGCUUAUGAGCGAGCCUACUACGGCAGAGCAGAUAUAUAUAUAUAUAUAUGUAUACCGAGCCUUAUAGGGCCGGAAAACUAUUUUACUUACUAUAUUGAGAGAAUUGAGUCAGUAUCAGCAGGUAAGCAUAUCUUUAGAUUAUCUUUGAUUUCCAGCUACUUGCAGUUAUUAUAUUAUCAGUUCAGUUUCAGCUUUCAGUAUAUUGCCUUACAUACUCAGUACAUUAUUUCUUACUGACGUCCCUUUUGUGGGGGCACUGCAUUUCAUGUGUGCAGUUCAGACAGACAGACAAGUAGGCCUCUUCAAUAAGUGUUGCCCGAGCUCAGCUUGAUCGGUAAGCUCCAUGCCUUUCGGAGUUUCCGGGUCUAGAGCCUUAUGUAUAUCUUGUAUAUAUAUGUAUAUAUGUCAUGAGUAGGUCGGAUAACUGUUCCGAUCAUAGUAUAUCCAUUAGUAGAGGCUUGUAGACAUAUCUUGUCA